UGAGAAACCUGCCGCUACAAAGAAAA
rnacentral:piRNA from 1 species